UACAAGACUAGAAUAUGUCAGAGGGGGGUAGAAUUCCACGUGUAGCAGUGAAAUGCGUAGAGAUGUGGAGGAAUACCAAUGGCGAAGGCAGCCCCCUGGGAUAAUAUUGACGCUCAUGCACGAAAGCGUGGGGAGCAAACAGGAUUAGAUACCCUGGUAGUCCACGCCCUAAACGAUGUCUACUAGUUGUUGGUGGAGUAAAAUCCAUGAGUAACGCAGCUAACGCGUGAAGUAGACCGCCUGGGGAGUACGGUCGCAAGAUUAAAACUCAAAUGAAUUGACGGGGGCCCGCACAAGCGGUGGAUUAUGUGGAUUAAUUCGAUGCAACGCGAAAAACCUUACCUGGCCUUGACAUGUACGGAACUUUCCAGAGAUGGAUUGGUGCUCGAAAGAGAGCCGUAACACAGGUGCUGCGUGGCUGUCGUCAGCUCGUGUCGUGAGAUGUUGGGUUAAGUCCCGCAACGAGCGCAACCCUUGCCAAUAAUUGCCAUCAUUUAGUUGGGCACUUUAUUGGGACUGCCGAUGACAAAUCGGAGGAAGGUGGGGAUGACGUCAAGUCCUCAUGGCCCUUAUGGCCAGGGCUUCACACGUAAUACAAUGGUCGGUACAGAGGGUUGCCAACCCGCGAGGGGGAGCCAAUCCCAGAAAGCCGAUCGUAGUCUGGAUUGCAGGCUGCAACUCGCCUGCAUGAAGUCGGAAUCGCUAGUAAUCGCGGAUCAGCAUGUCGCGGUGAAUACGUUCCCGGGCCUUGUACACACCGCCCGUCACACCAUGGGAGUGGGUUUUACCAGAAGUAGUUAGCCUAACCGUAAGGAGGGCGAUUACCACGGUAGUAUUCAUGACUGGGGUGAAGUCGUAACAAGGUAACC
rnacentral:rRNA from 1 species